rnacentral:lncRNA from 1 species
UUAGAGCCUUCCAGGGCAGGGCCGCAAAUAUGAAUGAAUUACACUUCUGUGCAACCCUAGGAGUCAGGUAUUACUCCCACUUUAAAAAUGGGUAACCUGAAGUUCAGACAGGUCAAGUGACUUGCUCAAGGUCAAAUUGUGAAUUUAUGUCAGUGCUAGACAUAAAACCCAAAUCUCCUGAUUAUAAAUCCUGUGCUUCCCAGUAUCAAAUCCACAUAACCCACUCAUUCACAUGUUGACAGAUAUGAAGAACCAAAGUUGCUUCUCACAUUGACAGAUCAUGAACUUUCAGCUGGUAAAUGGAACAUCAAAGUCAGUCCAUCAGGAAAAGUUUUUUUAUGGGUAUUCAAGCACAUAAGGAUUAGAAUAAUAAUUUAUUAGCUCCUUAGUUUUGGAGGAUUUUAAAAGUGCAUUUGAGUCCCUUAUCUCCCACCACUUUCCCUUGAAUAUUUAGUUAAACUGAUCCACAUGGGGCUGGCGGGGCUGCAGGAAGCUCACUGCCCAUGGUUGGGAGUUUGGUAGAGAAUGGUGUAUUUUGCAUGCUGGUAAAUAAGGAGCAGUGCUGUAUUCGAGUCCUGUGCUGAAUGCGUGUAUGUUAUGCCCCCAUUCAGGCCUCCUGAGAGAAGACAUCUGGCACCCAGCGGGCUCAAACCUUUGGUGGGAUCCCGGAAAAGGUUUUGGCUUUCACAACAUCCUCUGGAAAAGAGUUCCACAGGCUGACUGUGCAUUGUGUGAAGAAAUAUUGCCUAUUGUUUGUUUUAAAUCUGUUGCCUAUUAAUUUCAUUUGGUGACCCCUAGUUCUUGUGUUAUGAGAAGGAGUAAAAAACACUUUCUUGUUUACUUUCUCCACACCAGUCAUGAUUUUAUAGCCCACUAUCAUAUCCCCCCAUAGCCGUCUCUUUCCCAAGAUGAAAAAUCAGUUUUAUGGAAGCUGUUCUAUAACCCUAAUAAUUUUUGUUCCUUUUUCUGAACCUUUUCUAAUUCCAAUAUAUCCUUUUUGAGACGGGCGACCACAUCUUUAUCCAGUAUUCAAGAUGUGCAUGUACCGUGGAUUUAAAUAGAAGCAAUAUGAUAUUUUCUGUUUUAUCUAUUAUCAUGAAAUUUGUAAUCCUUUUUGAUGCAAUAAAAUUA